UACGAAGGGUGCAAGCGUUACUCGGAAUUACUGGGCGUAAAGCGUGCGUAGGUGGUUUGUUAAGUCUGUUGUGAAAGCCCCGGGCUCAACCUGGGAAUGGCAAUGGAUACUGGCAGGCUAGAGUGCGGUAGAGGGUAGUGGAAUUCCCGGUGUAGCGGUGAAAUGCGUAGAGAUCGGGAGGAACACCAGUGGCGAAGGCGGCUACCUGGACCAGCACUGACACUGAGGCACGAAAGCGUGGGGAGCGAACGGG
rnacentral:rRNA from 1 species